AUUUGGGCAUUUAUCACCCUUUUUUCUGUCUCUUCCCACCAGGAGAAGUUGCUCCAGUGCAAGGAACUGCAUUUGACCUGAGGAAGCCAGUGGAGCUUGGAAAACACCUGCAGAAGUUCCACAUCAAUGGCUUUGACCACAAUUUCUGUCUGAAGGGAUCUAAAGAAAAGCAUUUUUGUGCCCGGGUCCGUCAUGCUGGAAGUGGGCGGGUACUGGAAGUAUACACCACCCAGCCUGGGGUCCAGUUUUACACGGGCAACUUCCUGGAUGGCACUCUGAAGGGCAAGAGUGGAGCAGUCUAUCCCAAGCACUCCGGUUUCUGCCUCGAGACCCAAAACUGGCCUGAUGCAGUCAAUCAGCCCCACUUCCCUUCUGUGCUGCUGAGGCCUGGUGAGGAGUAUGACCACACCACUUGGUUUAAGUUUUCUGUGGCUUAUGGAAGUGUAAAGAAAUGACCUGCUCCAGGGCCAGGCUGGGAGGCUCUUCAGCAGCCUGUCUCCUGUCCAGAAAUGAGAUGAAGAUUUAGAGGCUUUAAAAGUGAUCCUAUGAAUUAAAAUCGUACAAAUGGUAGCUGUCAUGAUAAUCAAUCUGAAUACUGACUUCCUUUUCCAGUGACUGGCUCCAGGCUGGAUCUAAUCACCAGCUCUGUUUUUAUUCUCUGUGUAGUUAAGAGGACCCAGCCACCAAUGUCAUCAUCUAAGCCCUGACCCUAGCCCAGAAGUGGUAUCUGGGCCCCUGGGGUUGUGUUGGCUCCACCUCUCCACCUGCCUCUUUCUUUUCUACUUUUCACACUCCUUUCUUUGAUCCCACUCUCAUUCCUUUUCUUUUUCCUCCUCCUCUACCUCAAACCACUUUGCCCUUGUGUAACACUUUGGAGUUUUUAAAGGUCACAUUACCCCAUUCAACAUGCUGGCAAUGGACCUCUCUGCCUUGACAAGGCAGUAGAUGAUUGAGAAGUGAGGGAGCUGAGGCUUAGAGAGGGUAAAUGACACACCUAAAGGCACACUGCUAGGAAAAAUUUUAGCCAGGAUUUGAGGUUAGGUCAUGCGAAUUCAAGUCCCCUUCUUUGCUUCCACUUCAGUCUGCCAGAGCAUUCCUCGAGUCGCUGAUGGGCAAAGGAGGGUCUCACCUUUACUCUGCUAGAGCCAGCCUUUCUUCCCAGAUUGAUUUUUAUAAGAAGCAUCGGUCGAAGUUUAACUGUCUCUGAGCCUUAGAGGUGGAGUGACUUAAAGCGCAAGAUCAAAAUAUCCAGAAAGAAUCUAUAAUUUUGAUUCUCUGCCUUUGGGAUUGGGAUUUGAGAAAGCCCAACCAGCCAAAGCGUGGGAAGAAAGGAAGCCAUUGGAAGCAGAAGCUGCGUUAGUGUGAGGAGAGGGCCUUACCUGAGGAUUGCACAUCCCACGCAGAGCAAUGUUGUGUUAUAUAACUGAGGCUGGGGCUCCCUCCUUUCUUGAACAAUUUCUUGAAUCAUUGGUGGUGGGUUUGGGUUGGUGGUUUUUAAAGUAAUGUUUCUUAUACUAUUAUAUACUAGCAAUCAGUUGAAAUAAAACCAAAAUCUGCACCUUCA